rnacentral:rRNA from 1 species
CUUGAUGGGUUGUUGCUGGCUCUUAGGAGCAUGUGCACGCCUGUCAUAUUUAUCCAUCCACCUGUGCACCUUAUGUAGUCUUGGGGAUAAUGAGCGUGAAACUAUCGAGGAUAACUCCCUCGGAAAAGAGGUCUGCUGCGCGUGAGCGUGGCUGACCUUGUGCUCGCGCGAGUUUCUCCCGAGUCUAUGUCUUUCAUAUACCACAUAGAAUGUCUUUGAAUGUAUUUCAUUGGGCCUCAGUGCCUAUAUAACACAAUACAACUUUCAGCAACGGAUCUCUUGGCUCUCGCAUCGAUGAAGAACGCAGCGAAAUGCGAUAAGUAAUGUGAAUUGCAGAAUUCAGUGAAUCAUCGAAUCUUUGAACGCACCUUGCGCUCCUUGGUAUUCCGAGGAGCAUGCCUGUUUGAGUGUCAUUUAAUUCUCAACCCCUCCAGUUUUUUAUGACUGGCUUGGUGGCUUGGAUGUGGGGGAUUUGCGGGCCUCUUCAGAGGUCGGCUCCCCUGAAAUGCAUUAGCGGAGCCGUUUGCGGAACUGUCACUGGUGUGAUAAUUAUCUACGCCAAAAGACAACUGCUCUCUGGCAUCUCUGCUUCUAAUUGUCCAUCUCGGACAACAUUAUUUGAAAUCUUGACCUCAAAUCAGGUAGGACUACCCGCUGAACUUAAGCAUAUCAAUAAGCGGAGGAAAAGAAACUAACAAGGAUUCCCCUAGUAACUGCGAGUGAAGCGGGAAAAGCUCAAAUUUAAAAUCUGGCGGUCUUUGGCCGUCCGAGUUGUAAUCUAGAGAAGCGUCACCCGCGCUGGACCGUGUACAAGUCUCCUGGAAUGGAGCGUCAUAGAGGGUGAGAAUCCCGUCUCUGACACGGACUCCCAGGGCUUUGUGGUGCGCUCUCGAAGAGUCGAGUUGUUUGGGAAUGCAGCUCUAAAUGGGUGGUAAAUCCCAUCUAAAGCUAAAUAUUGGCGAGAGACCGAUAGCGAACAAGUACCGUGAGGGAAAGAUGAAAAGAACUUUGGAAAGAGAGUUAAACAGUACGUGAAAUUGCUGAAAGGGAAACGCUUGAAGUCAGUCGCGUUGGCCGGGGAUCAGCCUCGCUCUUGCGUGGUGUACUUCCUGGUUGACGGGUCAGCAUCAAUUUUGACCGCUGGAAAAGGACAUGAGGAAUGUGGCAUCUUCGGAUGUGUUAUAGCCUCUUGUCGCAUACAGCGGUUGGGAUUGAGGAACUCAGCACGCCGUAAGGCCGGGUUUCGACCACGUUCGUGCUUAGGAUGCUGGCAUAAUGGCUUUAAUCGACCCGUCUUGAAACACGGACCAAGGAGUCUAACAUGCCUGCGAGUGUUUGGGUGGAAAACCCGAGCGCGUAAUGAAAGUGAAAGUUGAGAUCCCUGUCGUGGGGAGCAUCGACGCCCGGACCAGAACUUUUGGGACGGAUCUGCGGUAGAGCAUGUAUGUUGGGACCCGAAAGAUGGUGAACUAUGCCUGAAUAGGGUGAAGCCAGAGGAAACUCUGGUGGAGGCUCGUAGCGAUUCUGACGUGCAAAUCGAUCGUCAGAUUUGGGUAUAGGGGCGAAAGACUAAUCGAACCA